AUUGAACGCUGGCGGCAUGCCUCACACAUGCAAGUCGAACGCGAAAGCGGGGCAACCCGCAAGUAGAGUGGCGAACGGGUGAGCAAUGCAUCGGAACAUAUCCAGUAGCGGGGGACAACCUGUCGAAAGAUAGGCUAAGACCGCAUACUACCUACGGGUGAAAGCGGAGGACCGCAAGGCUUCGCAACAUUGGAGUGGCCGAUGUCGGAUUAGCCAGGUGGCGGGGUAACGGCCCACCAAGGCGACGAUCCGUAGCUGGUCUGAGAGGACGGCCAGCCACACGGGAACUGAGAUACGGUCCAGACUCCUACGGGGGGCAGCAGUGGGGAAUUUUGUACAAUUGGCGCAAGCCUGGUCCAGCCAUGCCGCGUGAGUGAAGAAGGCCUUCGGGUUGUAAAGCUCUUUCGGCGGGGACUAAAUGGUCCGUGCUAACACCACGGACUGAUGACGGUACCCGAAGAAGAAGCACCGGCUAACUACGUGCCAGCCGCCGCGUAA
rnacentral:rRNA from 1 species